UCUCCUCUUCACAACCAUACCAUUUUCAUGGUGUGAAUCAAAAAUUUCGUGUCCCUUAUCAUCCCAAACAGCCAUGGUUUUGUGGAGAGCAAAGGCUAUGGAGUUGUGUUCUUGAGCUCUCUUGAAGAAUCACACUUGCUUGCUUGUUUCCUUUGAUUUUUGGGUGUGUGCUUGCCUAAAGGUGUGUUCUUGGUGGAAAAAGGUGGAGACUUGAGCUAAAGGAGAAACCUUGAAGAUGUGUGCCUAGAGAACCGUGCACUUGAGGAUUUUGUUGGAGCAUACGUAUUAUAUUGGAGUGUGGGCUUGUGCUAAGCUCCCUAAGGUACCCAGAGUAGUGGUGAUGCUUCUAGGGGCAAGGCCCCCGCAUUGGAGUAGUUGAUGAUGCAGCUGAUGAUUUUAUAUUAUGUUUAGAUUUGAUGUUGGCAUGUAGACUUGUUAACAUGCUUAAUUAUUUUAUGGAGAUUAUUGUAUGUAUUUAUUUAGGCUCAUGAUAGUAUUCUUAGAGCCAUGGAUUAUUUACUGAUACUUUUAUA